GCCACGAGCAGCAGCUCCUACCGCCGUCGUCCCGCUGCGGAUCCGCCCCAGCCGCCGUCGCGGGUCCGCCCCAGCCGCCAUCGCCGAGGAUCUCCCCCCCCUUCCAGCCGCCGACGCCGAUUUCGACAAGCAAGAGAUUGUGAAAUUAUCCUCGGCAGUGAGUGGUGCGGGCUGCCGGAGCUGUUGACGGAUCUCCGGCAGAAGUGUGCUCCCAAGAUAAACUUCUCUAACCUUUUGAUUAUUAUUGAAUUUAUUUUGGGUUUUCACGUUUUUGGAUCUACUUUACGUUUUUGGAUCUAUUUUAGUAUUUCUUGAAAUUUGGAAGACUUGAAGGUGAAACAUACUAUUAGACUAGACUAGGUGUUGUAAAUUCCAAAUUUGGGCAGAUUCUAACUUUGAAAUUGUAUAUACAUGCUUGUACAUAGAUGAAAGAAAAGAAAGGCUUGAUGUUUA